AAGAGGAUCAGUGAAAAUACAUACAAUUAGCGAAAACGACACACAAAAAGCCAUAAGAAAAGGCUGACAGAGGACCUAAAGCUGACAGCUGCAGAUCGGACCUACCACCCAUUCCAUCUCCUGAUCUUCUUAUUCAUAGAAUAAGCGACCUGCUGCCAUGGCUUCCUAGCCAAAAACGCAGCCGGAAAUCACCAGCAAAACAACUUCAAAAUCAGUCCAAACUCAGUUCUGAAACCGUCUUCGAAGUGAGGCGAUGUUCGAGUUCGCCGGUCCGAGGUUCCGACGAGGUCGUUUGAAGUUUCCGGUCUAUUUUCGGUCAAAGUUUUCAGCUUUCUCGGUUUGAGCUCAUCGGCCGUUGAUUUUAGAUGCUGUAAAUUUUAAGCAAAUGAAAGAACUUUAUUUCACUCAAAGGUGUGGAUGUACUUACUGGAGUUUGAGCAUGACAGAUACCCCAUGAUCACUGCAUCCAGGAGUUGCUCGAGGAGCCAUUUUAUGUUUUUGAGUCAAUUGUUUUUAUUUUAUUUUCUAGUCCUAGUAGUAUUUAGUCUUUUAGGUGAUGUUAGAGUUUGCAAUAGUCAGGUUAAGUUUGCCGAGUCUUUUGUUAUUGUAUUUCUUAUUUUGUAUGUGGAAAUGUGUUACGAGUCGAAAAUCCAAAAAAAGAAGAAAUUUUGCGUU